GACGAACGCUGGCGGCGUGCUUAACACAUGCAAGUCGAACGGAAAGGCCCUGCUUUUGUGGGGUGCUCGAGUGGCGAACGGGUGAGUAACACGUGAGUAACCUGCCCUUGACUUUGGGAUAACUUCAGGAAACUGGGGCUAAUACCGGAUAGGAGCUCCUGCUGCAUGGUGGGGGGUGGAAAGGUUCGGCGGUUGGGGAUGGACUCGCGGCUUAGCAGCUUGUUGGUGGGGUAGUGGCUUACCAAGGCUUUGACGGGUAGCCGGCCUGAGAGGGUGACCGGCCACAUUGGGACUGAGGUGCGGCCCAGACUCCUACGGGAGGCAGCAGUGAGGGAUAUUGCACGCUGGGCGGAAGCCUGAUGCAGCAACGCCGCGUGCGGGAUGACGGCCUUCGGGUUGUAAACCGCUUUCGCCUGUGACGAAGCGUGAGUGACGGUAAUGGGUAAAGAAGCACCGGCUAACUACGUG
rnacentral:rRNA from 1 species